rnacentral:lncRNA from 1 species
UGGUCUCUAACAUCUCAAGACAUGAUAUCUAAAAAUGAUACGAGAUCCUAAACCAUGUCUUACCGUCCAUAUCUUAACGUUCACGAAAACCUCGUAAAAGUAAACAAGCGACUUUUACGAAAAAUCACAUCUCAAGCGAACCACCAGAUUGAACAUCUCGUUAGAAGUAAAUAUGAGACGACAACUCAUAUUUAUUUCACAUAAUCAAAAUAAGGUACUUCGAUAAAUAUUCAUCAUAUAUAUAAAACCGCAGAGCGGUAGGGAUUCAAAGCCACCAACGGCCAAUCCCGAUAAAAAACAGCCAAAAAGGCCCACACAAAGUCUCAGCGUAAAGGCCACACUCGGCCAGAUACGAAUAAUAAAGGCCACUCGGCCAUAAACACAAGAUAAGGGGAAAUCGCUCCCCGACAAACAUCGACUUCGAUACUCACAACUUAAAGUUAAAAUUUCCGGACAAGGAAGCUCCGAAUGCAUCCGCGGGAUAGUUCACUUCCUCAUCGUCACCAGCAACCUCAGUCGCGACCUCCUCCAUAUCGGGAGAAACCGGGAUGGGAUCCAAGAAUCCCUAAAUCCUCCCAUCGAUCGGGGGAAUAAGCGCCUCAGCGUGGGCAUUGUCCUUCAUGCCAUCU